rnacentral:tRNA from 1 species
GCGGCAGUAGAUCAGUGGUAGAGCCCUCGUUUCAAAUGAGGGGAGACCUGGGUUCGAUCCCCGGCUGCUUCC